AGUGAACGCUGGCGGUAGGCCUAACACAUGCAAGUCGAACGGCAGCACAGUAAGAGCUUGCUCUUACGGGUGGCGAGUGGCGGACGGGUGAGGAAUACAUCGGAAUCUACUUUUUCGUGGGGGAUAACGUAGGGAAACUUACGCUAAUACCGCAUACGACCUACGGGUGAAAGCAGGGGAUCUUCGGACCUUGCGCGAUUGAAUGAGCCGAUGUCGGAUUAGCUAGUUGGCGGGGUAAAGGCCCACCAAGGCGACGAUCCGUAGCUGGUCUGAGAGGAUGAAGAGCCCAACUGGAAAUGAGACACGGUCCAGACACCUACGGGAGGCCGCAAUGGGGAAUAUUGGACAAUGGGCGCAAGCCUGAUCCAGUCAUACCGCGUGGGUGAAGAAGGCCUUCGGGUUGUAAAGCCCUUUUGUUGAGAAAGAAAAGCAGCAGGUUAAUACCCCGCUGUUCUGACGGUACCCAAAGAAUAAGCACCGGCUAACUUCGUG
rnacentral:rRNA from 1 species